UACGUAGGGUCCGAGCGUUGUCCGGAAUUACUGGGCGUAAAGGGCGCGCAGGCGGCUCAUUUUGUCAGGCGUGAAAGCCCCGGGCUUAACCUGGGAACUGCGUUUGAUACGGGUGGGCUAGAGUUCGGGAGAGGAGAGUGGAAUUCCCAGUGUAGAGGUGAAAUUCGUAGAUAUUGGGAAGAACACCGGUGGCGAAGGCGGCUCUCUGGACCGAUACUGACGCUGAGGCGCGAAAGCGUGGGGAGCAAACAGG
rnacentral:rRNA from 1 species